rnacentral:rRNA from 1 species
UCGAGAAUUUUUCUCAAUGGGGGAAACCCUGAAGGAGCGACGCCGCGUGGGGGAUGAAUGGCUUCGGCCCGUAAACCCCUGUCAUUUGUGAACAAUCCCGUUUACUUAACACGCAAACGGUUGAUAGUAACGAAAGAGGAAGGGACGGCUAACUCUGUGCCAGCAGCCGCGGUAAUACAGAGGUCCCAAGCGUUGUUCGGAUUCACUGGGCGUAAAGGGUGCGUAGGUGGCCAGGUAAGUUCGAUGUGAAAUCUCCGGGCUUAACCCGGAAAGUGCAUUGAAUACUAUCUGGCUAGAGGGUUGGAGGGGAGACUGGAAUUCUCGGUGUAGCAGUGAAAUGCGUAGAUAUCGAGAGGAACACCAGUGGCGAAGGCGAGUCUCUGGACAACUCCUGACACUGAGGCACGAAAGCUAGGGGAGCAAACAG